GACGAACGCUGGCGGCGUGCUUAACACAUGCAAGUCGAACGGAAAGGCCCUGCUUUUGUGGGGUGCUCGAGUGGCGAACGGGUGAGUAACACGCGAGUAACCUGCCCUUGUCUUUGGGAUAACUUCAGGAAACUGGGGCUAUUACCGGAUAGGAUCUCCUGCAGCAUGUUGGGGGUUGGAAAGUUUCGGCGGUUGGGGAUGGACUCGCGGCUUAUCCGCUUGAUGGUGGGGUAGUGGCUUACCAAGGCUUUGACGGAUAGCCGGCCUGAGAGGGGGACCGGCCACAUUGGGACUGAGAUACGGCCCAGACUGCUACGGGAGGCAGCAGUGGGGAAUAUUGCACAAUGGGCGGAAGCCUGAUGCAGCAACGCCGCGUGCGGGAUGACGGCCUUCGGGUUGUAAACCGCUUUCGCCUGUGACGAAGCGUGAGUGACGGUAAUGGGUAAAGAAGCACCGGCUAACUACGUG
rnacentral:rRNA from 1 species